UUUCCGUAGGUGAACCUGCGGAAGGAUCAUUAUCGAGUUCUCCUGCUUGCAGGAGCUCCCACCCUUGGCAACUCGACGUUGCUUCGGCGAGACGUUGGAAACAGCCGUUGGCAGCAAGAUUUGAUGCCGCCGACGCGGGCUCGCCGGAGUUCACAUACUCUGAGAUUAUGUAUCGUCAGAUAAAACAAGCAAUAUAUAAAAACUUUCAACAACGGAUCUCUUGGUUUUG
rnacentral:misc_RNA from 1 species